rnacentral:rRNA from 1 species
UACGGGGGGGGCAAGCGUUGUUCGGAAUUACUGGGCGUAAAGGGCCAGUAGGCGGCCAACUAAGUCCGACGUGAAAUCCCAAGGCUUAACCUUGGAACUGCGUCGGAUACUGGAUGGCUUGAAUUCGGGAGAGGGAUGCAGAAUUCCAGGUGUAGCGGUGAAAUGCGUAGAUAUCUGGAGGAACACCUGCGGCGAAGGCGGGUUGCUGGGCUGACACUGACGCUGAGGCGCGAAAGCUAGGGGAGCGAACGGG